AAUAGUUCACUCUCCUUCAGCGUUCAGAUCCUGAGAGUUUUAUUGAGCGCCAUUAAUUUCUUCUCUCUUUUGGGUUUUAAGCGCCAUGAAUUUCGAAAACCUCAAAUCACAAAACCGAUGGUGAUGAUAAAAAAUUCGACUGCCGAAGAGAAACUGGAAUCAGAGUCGUUUGUCACUCGUAUUAAUCCGAGGCAAAUCGAACCCCUUGAAGCAUAAGAUUUCCUUCUUUACCACUUCCAUUUGAUUCCAGCUCCUUCGCUAUUCGCUUCAUAUACUCCUGAGCUAGCCUCAGCGAGCUGUAUUUUAGCUGCAACAAGUCACCUACCUGUCCAAUCAGUCCUGUGUCGAGCAUCCACUCCCAAGGUAUCUGAAAAUCCUUGUAUCUUUUCCCUGUACUGUCUCUCAUCUUCUCUGUGUUGUUAACACUUUCCUCUAACCUGAAAAUGUGAAGAUUUAAGGCGAUUUAAUUCUUGUAAUUGGUUAAGAUCAGGGAGUUGCUAGUAUUAUAUUCUUUAGACAUACUCGCCUGUCUUGCAACGAUUGAAUCCUUUGCAAGGCCUGCGUCAGAGAAUCUUUUGGAUUGUCCUUGAAUGACAAAAUCUCAUUUCCAAGGUUCUUUGGCCUUUUGUAAUUGCAAGCAGCCUCUCUUAGUGAAUCUACUUUGCGUUCUGGCCAUUUAGGGAAAUGCUUUAGGACUGCCCUUUCAUCUACCAAGGAAGAUAGUUCUUCGUCUAUCCAUUUCACAAAUGUCUCCACUUCUGAUAUGUCUGUAAAUGUUGCAGCUUCCACUUUACUAAUCAAGAUAUGGAUAUGAUCUCUGUGUCUGUCAGUGUCAGAUUUAAUCUGCAAAUGUGCAAACACCGUUAGGAGAUCUGUUAAUGUUAUGAUGGACAUUUAAUUCCAUACGGUUGUUCAUUUAGCCACCUCUUCUAAGUUAUGAUGGACAAAGUUUAUCCUGUAUAGUACUUACAUCUGAAAGAUAUUUGGAGCGAUUCUCGAUUUCACCAAUCAUGUUUCUGUUGAAUGCAGGCGACAAAACUCCAUUCUGAUUGAUCUUGUUCCCCAUAUGAGACUCUCUCUUCGUCAGGGCACGAUAAAACUCUACGACUUCUGGAGCACGCCGCACAGAUCUUUUUCCAAGUGUUCUCUUUGAUGGAAGUGGUGGAGGUGGUGGCGGCUUUGUUGCUGUAGACUGACCUUGGAUCGUUGGCUUGGGAUUUGGAUUUCUGACCUCUUGACCCUUUGUGUUGGAUUUGACACUCUCUGGCGCUUUCAGCUUAUCGUUCCUCACUAGAUAGGCUUGAAGCUCCUUCACCAGACGCAGGAGAUCUGAAUCAUCUUCUCCAUUAGAUUAAGUUUGAAGAUCCUCUGAGUCCGCAAAUAAGUCACAGUCCCAGCCAUGGAUCGAUCCCU
rnacentral:lncRNA from 1 species